rnacentral:rRNA from 1 species
AAACGACUCUCGGCAACGGAUAUCUCGGCUCACGCAUCGAUGAAGAACGUAGCAAAAUGCGAUACUUGGUGUGAAUUGCAGAAUCCCGUGAACCAUCGAGUUUUUGAACGCAAGUUGCGCCCGAAACCAUUUGGUCGAGGGCACGUCUGCCUGGGCGUCACGCA